AGCUGGAAUCGCUAGUAAUCGCAGAUCAGAAUGCUGCGGUGAAUACGUUCCCGGGUCUUGUACACACCGCCCGUCACACCAUGGGAGUCGGAAAUGCCCGAAGCCAGUGACCCAACCUUAAGGAGGGAGCUGUCGAAGGUGGAGCCGGUAACUGGGGUGAAGUCGUAACAAGGUAGC
rnacentral:rRNA from 1 species